UUUUAUUUCUUUUUUUUAUAUAUCUUUUAGUUUUCAAUUUUAGUGUUGCUAAGUCAGCUGUCACAUGUUUGGUUAUUUUAAUUUUUUUGUUUACUGUAUUUGAUUGACAAACCCCGGAAUUAUAUACUUGUCCGUUUCCAGAUUUGAUCUGGUUUUAAUAUUUUUCCACACUUCCUGUUUAUUUAUGGCAGCCAUUGUUUGUCAAAAAAUGUUCAAUAUGUUUCAACUUGGAUUUACACAUUACUUGUUGGCGAUUUUUGACAUAAAGCUAGCAGUUGAAUAAAAUAAA
rnacentral:lncRNA from 1 species